rnacentral:rRNA from 1 species
UACGAAGGGGGCGAGCGUUGUUCGGAAUUACUGGGCGUAAAGCGUGCGCAGGCGGUUAUGCAAGACAGAUGUGAAAUCCCCGGGCUCAACCUGGGAACUGCAUUUGUGACUGCAUGGCUAGAGUGCGGCAGAGGGGGAUGGAAUUCCGCGUGUAGCAGUGAAAUGCGUAGAUAUGCGGAGGAACACCGAUGGCGAAGGCAAUCCCCUGGGCCUGCACUGACGCUCAUGCACGAAAGCGUGGGGAGCAAACAGG